rnacentral:rRNA from 1 species
UACGAAGGGGGCUAGCGUUGUUCGGAAUUACUGGGCGUAAAGCGCGUGUAGGCGGGAAGAUAAGUCGGGUGUGAAAUCCCUGGGCUCAACCUAGGAACUGCAUUCGAAACUGUCUUUCUGGAGUGAUGGAGAGGAAAGCGGAAUUCCCGGUGUAGAGGUGAAAUUCGUAGAUAUCGGGAGGAACACCAGUGGCGAAGGCGGCUUUCUGGCCAUCAACUGACGCUGAGACGCGAAAGCGUGGGGAGCAAACAGG